rnacentral:rRNA from 1 species
UGGGGAAUAUUGGACAAUGGGCGGAAGCCUGAUCCAGCAAUGCCGCGUGUGUGAAGAAGGCCCUUGGGUUGUAAAGCACUUUCGAUGGGGAGAAGGAAGUUGGGUUUAAUAGACUUGAUGGAAGAUGUUACCCAUAGAAGAAGCACCGGCUAACUCUGUGCCAGCAGCCGCGGUAAUACAGAGGGUGCGAGCGUUAAUCGGAAUGACUGGGCGUAAAGGGUGUGUAGGCGGCAAUGUAAGAGGGGCGUGAAAGACCUGGGCUUAACCUGGGGGUGGCGUCCAAGACUGCAUAGCUAGAGUACUGUAGAGGAAAGUGGAAUUUCCGGUGUAGCAGUGAAAUGCGUAGAUAUCGGAAGGAACACCAGUGGCGAAGGCGACUUUCUGGACAGAUACUGACGCU